AGUGCGUGGGUUCGGUCUUAAAAUCCAAG
rnacentral:sRNA from 1 species